rnacentral:lncRNA from 1 species
CGCAGACUGAACAAAAUUCAGUUUGUUGUGAUCAUACCUAUUUAUUUAGUCAUAUAUAAAUAUAUAAUACUAUGUUAUAGAAAUGCACAAGUGUAUAGUGUGCGGCAAUAAAUCUAAGUACACAAAGGUCAAUCGUCCAGGAGUUAUUUAUCAUGGAUUUCCAAAGAAUGCAUACAUGAGGAAAAAAUGGUUUAAAGUUUUUGGGAUUGAUCGUUGCCAUGAUUGGCAACGUAAAUGUAGUGAUCAUUUUUUAGAAGAAAACUAUAAGCCAGGAAAAAAGUGAUUUUUAUUUUCAAAUGCUAUUCCCCAACCUUAUCAUCGAAAUGGUUUUCCUUCUAAUUAUGCUACUCAAAGUAAUGAUGUUGAAACUGGAAAUAAUGUAAUUUUACCGAUGGAACAAAAUAUUAUACAGUGAGUUAAUGAAAAUUGUAUCAGACUUGAUUUUGUAUUUACAAUUAUUUGAAAAUCUAUAAAUUUGGCUUAUUAUGAUGAAAGUGAUUGCAUAGAAUCUGAA